rnacentral:tRNA from 1 species
GAGGUUGUGGCUCAGUGGCAGAGUGCUUGUCUAGCCCAUGUGAGGCACUGAGUUCGAUCCUCAGCACCACA